rnacentral:rRNA from 1 species
UACGAAGGGGGCCAGCGUUGCUCGGAAUUACUGGGCGUAAAGGGCGCGUAGGCGGAUGUUUAAGUCGGGGGUGAAAGCCCGGGGCUCAACCUCGGAAUUGCCUUCGAUACUGGACAUCUUGAGUACGGGAGAGGUGAGUGGAACUCCGAGUGUAGAGGUGAAAUUCGUAGAUAUUCGGAAGAACACCAGUGGCGAAGGCGACUCACUGGCCCGUUACUGACGCUGAGGCGCGAAAGCGUGGGGAGCAAACAGG